rnacentral:rRNA from 1 species
AUUGAACGCUGGCGGCAGGCCUAACACAUGCAAGUCGAGCGGUAGCACAAGGGAGCUUGCUCCCUGGGUGACGAGCGGCGGACGGGUGAGUAAUGUCUGGGAAACUGCCUGAUGGAGGGGGAUAACUACUGGAAACGGUAGCUAAUACCGCAUAACGUCUUCGGACCAAAGAGGGGGACCUUCGGGCCUCUUGCCAUCGGAUGUGCCCAGAUGGGAUUAGCUAGUAGGUGAGGUAAAGGCUCACCUAGGCGACGAUCCCUAGCUGGUCUGCGGGGAUGACCAGCCACACUGGAACUGAGACGCGGUCCAGACUCCUACGGGAGGCAGCAGUGGGGAAUAUUGCACAAUGGGCGCAAGCCUGAUGCAGCCAUGCCGCGUGUGUGAAGAAGGCCUUCGGGUUGUAAAGCACUUUCAGCGGGGAGGAAGGCGAUAAGGUUAAUAACCUUGUCGAUUGACGUUACCCGCAGAAGAAGCACCGGCUAACUCCGUGCCAGCAGCCGCCGUAACAC